GCAGUCGAGCGAAUGGAUUAAGAGCUUGCUCUUAUGAAGUUAGCGGCGGACGGGUGAGUAACACGUGGGUAACCUGCCCAUAACACUGGGAUAACUCCGGGAAACCGGGGCUAAAACCGGACAACAUUUUGAACCGCAUGGUUCGAAAUUGAAAGGCGGCUUCGGCUGUCACUUAUGGAUGGACCCGCGUCGCAUUAGCUAGUUGGUGAGGUAACGGCUCACCAAGGCAACGAUGCGUAUCCAACCUGAAAGGGUGAUCGCCCACACUGGGACUGACCCAGGACCCACACUUAAACGGGAGGCAGCAGUAGGGAAUCUUCCGCAAUGGACGAAAGUCUGACGGAACAACGCCCCGUGAGUGAUGAAGGCUUUCGGGUCGUAAAACUCUGUUGUUAGGGAAAAACAAGUGCUAGUUGAAUAAGCUGGCACCUUGACGGUACCUAACCAGAAAGCCACGGCUAACUACGUGCCAGCAGCCGCGGUAAUACGUAGGUGGCAAGCGUUAUCCGGAAUUAUUGGGCGUAAAGCGCGCGCAGGUGGUUUCUUAAGUCUGAUGUGAAAGCCCACGGCUCAACCGUGGAGGGUCAUUGGAAACUGGGAGACUUGAGUGCAGAAGAGGAAAGUGGAAUUCCAUGUGUAGCGGUGAAAUGCGUAGAGAUAUGGAGGAACACCAGUGGCGAAGGCGACUUUCUGGUCUGUAACUGACACUGAGGCGCGAAAGCGUGGGGAGCAAACAGGAUUAGAUACCCUGGUAGUCCACGCCGUAAACGAUGAGUGCUAAGUGUUAGAGGGUUUCCGCCCUUUAGUGCUGAAGUUAACGCAUUAAGCACUCCGCCUGGGGAGUACGGCCGCAAGGCUGAAACUCAAAGGAAUUGACGGGGGCCCGCACAAGCGGUGGAGCAUGUGGUUUAAUUCGAAGCAACGCGAAGAACCUUACCAGGUCUUGACAUCCUCUGACAACCCUAGAGAUAGGGCUUCUCCUUCGGGAGCAAAAUGACAGGUGGUGCAUGGUUGNCGUCAGCUCGGGCCGNGAAAUGUUGGGUUAAGUCCCGCACCGAGNGCACCCUUGAUCUUAGUUGCCAUCUUUAAGUUGGGCCCUCNAAGGGNACUGCCGGGGANNAACCGGAAGAAGGGGGGGAUGACGCCAAAUCCCNUNGCCCCUUAUGACUGG
rnacentral:rRNA from 1 species